ACGUAGGUGGCAAGCGUUGUCCGGAUUUACUGGGCGUAAAGAGCGCGCAGGCGGUCGUAUAAGUCGAAUGUGAAAGCCCCUGGCUCAACUAGGGAGAGUCAUUCGAUACUGUUCGACUCGAAGGCAGGAGAGGGAAGUGGAAUUCCGGGUGUAGUGGUGAAAUGCGUAGAUAUCCGGAGGAACACCAGUGGCGAAGGCGACUUUCUGGCCUGUUCUUGACGCUGAGGCGCGAAAGCUAGGGGAGCAAACGGGAUUAGAUACCCCGGUAGUCCUAGCCGUAAACGAUGGACACUAGGUGUUGGUGGUAUCAACCCCGCCAGUGCCGUAGCUAACGCAUUAAGUGUCCCGCCUGGGGAGUACGGCCGCAAGGCUA
rnacentral:rRNA from 1 species